UGGGGAAUAUUGCACAAUGGGCGCAAGCCUGAUGCAGCCAUGCCGCGUGUGUGAAGAAGGCCUUCGGGUUGUAAAGCACUUUCAGCGGGGAGGAAGGCGGUGAGGUUAAUAACCUCAUCGAUUGACGUUACCCGCAGAAGAAGCACCGGCUAACUCCGUGCCAGCAGCCGCGGUAAUACGGAGGGUGCAAGCGUUAAUCGGAAUUACUGGGCGUAAAGCGCACGCAGGCGGUCUGUCAAGUCGGAUGUGAAAUCCCCGGGCUCAACCUGGGAACUGCAUUCGAAACUGGCAGGCUAGAGUCUUGAAGAGGAGGGUAGAAUUCCAGGUGUAGCGGUGAAAUGCGUAGAGAUCUGGAGGAAUACCGGUGGCGAAGGCGGCCCCCUGGACAAAGACUGACGCUCAGGUGCGAAAGCGUGGGGAGCAAACAGG
rnacentral:rRNA from 1 species